UUAUCUUACAUUUCAUCCUCACUCAGUACAUCUCGUUUCGUUCGUCUUAACAAACCAAUGUAACAUAUUUGGAUGUAUCCGUUUUCAUCUCUCGAAGACUGUGGUGGAGAAUCCAACAAUGCAGACCAUGGAUAUUGAUGAUGACACGUCUCCCAACAAGCCCAGUGUUACAUUUUCAGUACAUUUUCAGUGGUGGAAGAGACCCUCUGGAGUUGCUGCAGUGUGUCUGGGGCUGCUGUGUGUUAUCCUACUGGCUGGGCUCAUAGGCCUGUUUGUCUACUGUAAGUAGGUAAACAUGGAGUCAACGAUCAUCACUACACAACAGAGACCAACAUGCCAAUUACAGCCUUCUGACUAAAGAAGGAGAUCGGCAACCCACCAGCUGUCUUAACUUGACUAAAGAGGGAGACCAGUU